CCUACGGGCGGCAGCAGUGAGGAAUAUUGGUCAAUGGUCGGGAGACUGAACCAGCCAAGCCGCGUGAGGGAUGAAGGUACAGAGUAUCGUAAACCUCUUUUGUCAGGGAACAAAGGCGGGGACGUGUCCCCGGAUGAGUGUACCUGAAGAAAAAGCAUCGGCUAACUCCGUGCCAGCAGCCGCGGUAAUGGGGGGGAUGCGAGCGUUAUCCGGAUUUAUUGGGUUUAAAGGGUGCGCAGGCGGUCUGUUAAGUCAGCGGUAAAAGCCCGGGGCUCAACCCCGGCCCGCCGUUGAAACUGGCAGUCUCGAGUUGGAGAGAAGUAUGCGGAAUGCGCGGUGUAGCGGUGAAAUGCAUAGAUAUCGCGCAGAACUCCGAUUGCGAAGGCAGCAUGCCGGCUCCACACUGACGCUGAGGCACGAAAGCGUGGGUAUCGAACAGGAUUAGAUACCCUAGUAGUC
rnacentral:rRNA from 1 species